CUCGUGUCGUGAGAUGUUGGGUUAAGUCCCGCAACGAGCGCAACCCUGACCUUAGUUGCCAGCAUUCAGUUGGGCACUCUAAGGUGACUGCCGGCUAAAAGUCGGAGGAAGGUGGGGAUGACGUCAAAUCAUCAUGCCCCUUAUGACCUGGGCUACACACGUGCUACAAUGGGCGGUACAAAGGGUCGCGAACCCGCGAGGGGGAGCCAAUCCCAAAAAGCCGCUCUCAGUUCGGAUUGCAGGCUGCAACUCGCCUGCAUGGAGCCGGAAUCGCUAGUAAUCGCGGAUCAGCAUGCCGCGGUGAAUACGUUCCCGGGCCUU
rnacentral:rRNA from 1 species